UGGGGAAUUUUGGACAAUGGGGGCAACCCUGAUCCAGCCAUGCCGCGUGAGUGAAGAAGGCCUUCGGGUUGUAAAGCUCUUUCGGCCGGGAAGAAAUCGCUCAAGCUAAUACCUUGGGUGGAUGACGGUACCGGAAGAAGAAGCACCGGCUAACUACGUGCCAGCAGCCGCGGUAAUACGUAGGGUGCGAGCGUUAAUCGGAAUUACUGGGCGUAAAGCGUGCGCAGGCGGAAUGGAAAGUCAGUGGUGAAAUCCUACAGCUUAACUGUAGAACUGCCUUUGAUACUUUCAUUCUUGAGUUCGGGAGAGAGAGACGGAAUUCCAGGUGUAGUGGUGAAAUACGUAGAUAUCUGGAAGAACACCAGUUGCGAAGGCGGUCUCUUGGUCCGAUACUGACGCUGGGGCGCGAAAGCGUGGGGAGCAAACAGGAUUAGAUACCCCAGUAG
rnacentral:rRNA from 1 species